UACUGUAGAUAUUUGCUUUUUUUUUUUUCCUUUUCACAAGUAGUCAUUCACCUAUUUUAUUUUAGAUCAUCGGAUCCAAGUUCUGCACCAGAAGCAUAUGAUGCAUGAACAUAAACUUUCAGAAAAACAAGAUGAAGUGUUAAGCACACCUGUGAAUAUGACAGAUGUAAAAGGCAAGUAUUCCCAGUUUUUAAAUUUCUUAUCUAUCCUCUUGGGAUAGAAUUCAUCCCUGUGCAGAAGGCCAGCACAAAGUCUGUGCAUUACUUACGUCCCACUUCAACUUUAAAAAAUUGAGCUUAAGUGAAACUUAAAUAGUGCACAGACCUUGUGUUAGCCAUCUGAAUUUCACACCUAUUGUGUGCACAUACAGAAUUAUGAUUUUAAUAUGUGCAAUUAUAUAGUUUCAGGGCCAUCUGUAAAAACACAGUUAUUACCAAGUGGAGUGCACAUUGAUGUGCAAGAGAUGUUAUCUUCUAACAGUGUGACAACAAAAGCAGCUCAGGUUUCUAACGGUUCUUCAAUGCUGAUUAUUAACAAGCUGCAGAAGAUUUUCCCAAAUAUACUUUUGGACACUCAGUCAAAAUAUAAGAAAGUGGAUAAUGAAAACAAAGAAGAGGGUAAAAAGAAAAGGAUGUUGUUUCCUGAUUUGGAGGAAGAUAAAAAUACUGGUAAUAACAAAGACAGCUUAACAAGAACUAAUAUUACUAUAAGAUUCCAUUCCAAUGAUAAUUCAAGCCAAACUCAGAUUGAUAUUUACAAUUUAAAAAAUUCAAGAGCGAAUCCUGAGGUGCAUAUUGUCGCCAGCAAUAUUAUUGACCAACAAAAUAAAAUAAAUUCAGUAGUAGUACAAGAUGAUGUUUUGCAAGUGACCGUAAACAGUUCACUGGAUAAAAAAAUACAGAAUAAUACAAAAGUAAGAGGAAAAAGUCUUGCAAAAAUUGAGGUUGGAAAUAUGGAAAGAAACUCCACAGGUAGCAACAGGAAAAAACUUCUUAUAGCAGGUCUGCCUGAGUCUGCUACUUAUCCAUUUCGUCAGUUGAACCGUAUUUUACAGACGCUGGAAGAUCACAUGGGUGUUCAAACAUAUAAUCUCCAAGGUGUAAAAGGAAACCAUUCUCAAGUGUCAGUGAGAAUGCUGAAGAAUGUAUUACAGGACUUACAGAAAGAAUAUAAGAAGUCAGAAUUCAGUGAAAAGGAAAACAAGACACAGACACCUUUUGAGGGACAAAGUCGCAGUCUACAAGUCUCAGAUGAAAAUAUAGACCAAUUUAAAGCAACACUUGUGCCAGAACCUACAAGUGUCACAACAAAGGCAAACAUGAAGGAUGCCAAACGAUUUGAAUUUUUUAAAGAGCAUGAAGGUAUUCAUGACAGGAAAAAAGCAAAAGCUGCAGAUCUUAAAGGCCUUCUAAAGCACAUUAUCAUAGCCUGUGUAGCGGUCACUGGUUUGAUAUUGGCUGUAAUAGUGUUGAUGCACAUAUUUACUUCGAUAUUUGCGAAGAACAAACAGGAACCAGUAAUAACUAAUACUUACAACAUUUACAAAAGAGAAAACCCAACAAAAGAUGAAGCCAAAUCAAUCUCAGAAAUAGAUUGCAAAGAACUGAAAAAAGACAUUGCUGUAGUGAAAAAUCAGUCUGAACAUAGUAACCUGAAUCAACUACCAGUGCAUUUACCAAAAGACAAAUCUAAAGAAAAUGGCCAAGACUUAGAACCUUCAGAAAAACAACCAGGCCAUAAUACUUCCUCCAUUAACUCUCCAUCAAAAAGGAUUGAUGAAAGAAAUACAAUUCUGUCAACGUCAACUGAAACUUUAGAAUGUAACCACUCUUCACAAAUGCCCCCUGACAAUUGUUCGUCUUCAGAAAUGAAAACAUGCAAGAACCACAGAACAAGACCUAGAACUUUAAAAACAAAUCAAUCUUGUUGUCACAAACCAAGACAACAUUGUACAGAACCAAAAGAACAUGGUUAUCAAAGACUACGGGAUAAAGAUAUUGCUCUUCAUAGAAAGCAUUUACACCAUCAAAGAUCAUCUAGGCAUGACAAACAUAGAUCAAAGU
rnacentral:lncRNA from 1 species